rnacentral:rRNA from 1 species
CGUAGGGUGCGAGCGUUAAUCGGAAUUACUGGGCGUAAAGCGUGCGCAGGCGGCGCCGCAAGUCGAGUGUGAAAUCCCCGAGCUUAACUUGGGAAUUGCGCUCGAAACUACGGUGCUGGAGUGUGGCAGAGGGAGGUGGAAUUCCACGUGUAGCGGUGAAAUGCGUAGAGAUGUGGAGGAACAUCGAUGGCGAAGGCAGCCUCCUGGGCCAACACUGACGCUCAUGCACGAAAGCGUGGGGAGCAAACAGGAUUAGAUACCCUGGUAGUCCACGCCCUAAACGAUGAUGACUAGUUGUUGGGGGAGUUAAAUCCCUUAGUAACGCAGCUAACGCGUGAAGUCAUCCGCCUGGGGAGUACGGUCGCAAGAUUA